rnacentral:rRNA from 1 species
CAACGGAUAAAAGGUACUCCGGGGAUAACAGGCUGAUACCGCCCAAGAGUUCAUAUCGACGGCGGUGUUUGGCACCUCGAUGUCGGCUCAGUCACAUCCUGGGGCUGAAGUAGGUCCCAAGGGUAUGGCUGUUCGCCAUUUAAAGUGGUACGCGAGCUGGGUUAGAACGUCGUGAGACAGUUCGGUCCCUAUCUGCCGUGGGCGUUGGAAGAUUGAGAGGGGUUGCUCCUAGUACGAGAGGACCGGAGUGAACGCACCACUGGUGUUCGGGUUGUCAUGCCAAUGGCAUUGCCCGGUAGCUAAGUGCGGAAGAGAUAACCGCUGAAAGCAUCUAAGCGGG